CCGCUCUGGCCAUGCCUCCAGCCGAGAGGGGCCCUGGAGAGGCUCACCUUCAACCAGCCAACAUAGAAGAAGAACUGCAGGAAUGUGAAGACGGGCACAACGAGGUCCAGCUCAUGGCCAGGCUUCCUCAUCUAUCAAAAAAGAACCAGGACCUCACAGACUCAGAGAGGAAGGAGGGGCAUCUGAGGAGGGACCACCUCGGGCUGUGGAAUGCUGUUGGAAAAGAUUCUGCAACCCCACCUCAGGCUUUGGGAAGACUCUUGGGGGCUCAAGGCUUCUCUUUGCAGGAAACCUUGUUUCCUGUGGACCACAACCCUUCCCACUCUGCGGCAGCCCUGUCUGCACAGCGGGCUCACGUUCAGCAGGCUCUGGAGCAGGAUAGGGUCCCGGAUUCGACCUCCAAGCCACGCCUUCAUUGACAGGUUGGCAAACCACACCCAGGGCACCCAGAACAUGUUGUGUGGUCCCAUCCAUUGGACCUCCCUUCAACCCCAAGAGAGACCACUACCCUAGCAG